ACCGCAUGCAGGUAAACGGGUGGCGUCAAGCUGCAAGCCCAGAGGAUUCAGCCGGCUAGAGUGUAGUGUAUGCGCCUGCGCAUCGAUCGGCCAGUGUAGGAUUGGGUAGUCUACUGGAAGACAGUAGGCCCUGCCGCAAGGUGGGGAUGUGUGUACCGGGCGGAGGCCGGAACACGCUAUCCGUCUAUUGGGCUGCCUAGCCGGUGCACUUUCUCUGUGGUGAACACCACGACCGGUGGAACUGCCAGUCUGUCAUAGUCAAGUCGUAGUGGGCGGGCUCUUGGGUCUGCCUGCUGUGAUCACGGGCGUGCUUGGUAAACGGCGUUAGUGCAUCUUUACGGUGUGCCGACGUGUUAUCGGCUACUAGUCGCUUUAACGGGCCUGCCUAAUGCAUGUUAUAGCCGUGUGUUGGGUGGUCUGGUGGACUUUGAUGGUAAUAAUAACUGUGCAGGGCACCGGAGUUUUCGGCCUCAAAUGCAGUCUGCAUUCAUGCUAUGAGUGUAAUGUGUUUGUGAGUGUCGUCGCGGGCUGGCUGUUGUUGGAUUUGAUUGUCGUGUUGCCUGCGAAAAGUGGGCCCGGCAGUGGUUCGAUACAGAUUGGUCUCGUUGGCGGUGCUUGCGGUGUAGACUGUGGUGGGCCAGAUAGUCUGUGGUGUAGUGGUAGACGAGCUACCCGACCCGUCUUGA
rnacentral:rRNA from 1 species